UGGGGAAUAUUGGACAAUGGGCGAAAGCCUGAUCCAGCCAUGUCGCGUGUGUGAAGAAGGUCUUCGGAUUGUAAAGCACUUUAAGUUGGGAGGAAGGGCAGUAAGCGAAUACCUUGCUGUUUUGACGUUACCGACAGAAUAAGCACCGGCUAACUCUGUGCCAGCAGCCGCGGUAAUACAGAGGGUGCAAGCGUUAAUCGGAAUUACUGGGCGUAAAGCGCGCGUAGGUGGUUCGUUAAGUUGAAUGUGAAAGCCCCGGGCUCAACCUGGGAACUGCAUCCAAAACUGGCGAGCUAGAGUAGGGCAGAGGGUGGUGGAAUUUCCUGUGUAGCGGUGAAAUGCGUAGAUAUAGGAAGGAACACCAGUGGCGAAGGCGACCACCUGGGCUCAUACUGACACUGAGGUGCGAAAGCGUGGGGAGCAAACAGG
rnacentral:rRNA from 1 species